AUUGAACGCUGGCGGCAGGCCUAACACAUGCAAGUCGAGCGGAUGAGUGGAGCUUGCUCCAUGAUUCAGCGGCGGACGGGUGAGUAAUGCCUAGGAAUCUGCCUGGUAGUGGGGGACAACGUUUCGAAAGGAACGCUAAUACCGCAUACGUCCUACGGGAGAAAGCAGGGGACCUUCGGGCCUUGCGCUAUCAGAUGAGCCUAGGUCGGAUUAGCUAGUAGGUGAGGUAAUGGCUCACCUAGGCGACGAUCCGUAACUGGUCUGAGAGGAUGAUCAGUCACACUGGAACUGAGACACGGUCCAGACUCCUACGGGAGGCAGCAGUGGGGAAUUUUGGACAAUGGGCGCAAGCCUGAUCCAGCAAUGCCGCGUGCAGGAUGAAGGCCUCGGUGUAACUGCUUUGUUACGGUAACGAAACGGUAG
rnacentral:rRNA from 1 species